AGAGUUUGAUCCUGGCUCAGGAUGAACGCUAGCGGCAGGCUUAAUACAUGCAAGUCGAACGGUAACAGGUGUAGCAAUACAUGCUGACGAGUGGCGCACGGGUGCGUAACGCGUAUGCAACUUACCCUUAACUGGAGAAUAGCUCGAAGAAAUUCGAAUUAAUACUCCAUAACAUUACGAUCCGGCAUCGGAUUGUUCUUAAAGCUCCGGCGGUUAAGGAUGGGCAUGCGUGACAUUAGCUAGUUGGUGAGGUAAAAGCUCACCAAGGCAACGAUGUCUAGGGGAUCUGAGAGGAUUUUCCCCCACACUGGUACUGAGACACGGACCAGACUCCUACGGGAGGCAGCAGUAAGGAAUAUUGGACAAUGGGGGCAACCCUGAUCCAGCCAUGCCGCGUGAAGGAUGAAGGCCCUAUGGGUUGUAAACUUCUUUUAUAUGAUAAAAAACCUCUUUACGUGUAAAGGGCUGAUUGUCGUAAGAAUAAGGGUCGGCUAACUCCGUGCCAGCAGCCGCGGUAAUACGGAGGACCCAAGCGUUAUUCGGAUUUAUUGGGUUUAAAGGGUGCGUAGGCGGGAUAGUAAGUCAGAGGUGAAAUCCUACAGCUUAACUGUAGAACUGCCUUUGAUACUGCUAACCUUGAGUACAGAUGAUGUGGGCGGAAUAUGACAUGUAGCGGUGAAAUGCUUAGAUAUGUCAUAGAACACCGAUUGCGAAGGCAGCUCACAAAACUGUAACUGACGCUGAGGCACGAAAGCAUGGGGAUCGAACAGGAUUAGAUACCCUGGUAGUCCAUGCCAUAAACGUUGAUCACUAGAUGUUUGCGAUACACUGUAAGCGUCCAAGCGAAAGCGAUAAGUGAUCCACCUGGGGAGUACGGUCGCAAGAUUGAAACUCAAAGGAAUUGACGGGGGCCCGCACAAGCGGAGGAGCAUGUGGUUUAAUUCGAUGAUACGCGAGGAACCUUACCUGGGCUUGGAAGUUAGCGACGGAUGCUGAAAGGUGUCUUCCCUUCGGGGCGCGAAACUAGGUGCUGCAUGGCUGUCGUCAGCUCGUGCCGUGAGGUGUUGGGUUUAGUCCCGCAACGAGCGCAACCCCUAUCAUUAGUUGCCAUCGGGUAAUGCCGGGAACUCUAAUGAAACUGCCCGCGUAAGCGGUGAGGAAGGUGGGGAUGACGUCAAGUCAGCACGGCCCUUACGUCCAGGGCUACACACGUGCUACAAUGGCGAGAACAAAGGGCAGCUACACGGUGACGUGAUGCUAAUCUCUAAAACUCGUCUCAGUUCGGAUUGAAGUCUGCAAUUCGACUUCAUGAAGCUGGAUUCGCUAGUAAUCGGAUAUCAGCAAUGAUCCGGUGAAUACGUUCCCGGGCCUUGUACACACCGCCCGUCAAACAAUGGAAGCUGAGGGUACCUAAAGUCGAUUGCCGCAAGGCGUCGCCUAGGGUAAAAUUGGUAACUGGUGUUAAGUCGGAACAAGGUAGCCGUACCGGAAGGUGCGGCUG
rnacentral:rRNA from 1 species